rnacentral:rRNA from 1 species
AUUGAACGCUGGCGGCAGGCCUAACACAUGCAAGUCGAGCGAGCGGCGGACGGGUGAGUAAUGUCUGGGAAACUGCCCGAUGGAGGGGGAUAACUACUGGAAACGGUAGCUAAUACCGCAUACCAUCAGAUGUGCCCAGAUGGGAUUAGCUAGUUGGUGAGGUAAUGGCUCACCAAGGCGACGAUCCCUAGCUGGUCUGAGAGGAUGAUCCGCCACACUGGAACUGAGACACGGCCCAGACCCCUACGUGAGGCAGCAGUGGGGAAUAUUGCACAAUGGGCGCAAGCCUGAUGCAGCCAUGCCGCGUGUAUGAAGAAGGCCUUCGGGUUGUAAAGUACUUUCAGCCGGGAGGCGUUACCGGCAGAAGAAGCACCGGCUAACUCCGUGCCAGCAGCCGCGGUAAUAC